GACGAACGCUGGCGGCGUGCCUAAUACAUGCAAGUAGAACGCAGUUUCGAACGGGUGAGUAACGCGUAUGUAACUGCCUCAUAGCGGGGGAUAACUAUUGGAAACGAUAGCUAAUACCGCAUACUUUGACAUGGAUCUGCUUUGUAUUAGCUAGUUGGUGAGGUAAAGGCUCACCAAGGCGCCGAUACAUAGUCGGGCUGAGAGGGGGAUCGGCCAAACUGGGACUGAGACACGGGCCAGACUCCUAAGGGAGGCAGCAAGAGGGGAACUUCGGCAAUGGAGGGAAGGCUGGACAAGCAAAGCCGCGUGAGAGGAGAAGGUUUUCGGAUCGUAAAGCUCUGUUGUUAGAGAAGCGUUAACUAAACAGAAAGGGACGGCUAACUACGUGCCAGCAGCCGCGGUAAUAC
rnacentral:rRNA from 1 species